rnacentral:lncRNA from 1 species
UUUUCAAGGUUGGCUGAGUGAACCCCAAAUCUGUAGGGCAACCUAUCACGACGGGAGGGUCACAAGGCGGCUGGAACACACGCACAGCAGGAGUGGUUAUCCAUGGAUGGGAAGGAAAACUUGGAGUAGAAGAUGACACUGGUGAUGAAAUGACACGUGUGAACGGUUGCAGGGCUUUGCAAGCAGAAGGCUGCACAAAUUCAGGGUAUCACCUGUUUGGUUUAUACUCCUGAAUUAACUUUCUGCCUUCCCAGUCCACAGGUCUAAUAAAAGGUUUCACUUGGGCUAG